UACGGGAGGUGCGAGCGUUGUCCGGAAUCACUGGGCGUAAAGGGCGCGUAGGUGGUUUGAUAAGGGUGUGGUGAAAGUCCGGGGCUCAACCCCGGAUCUGCCGUGCCGACUGUCAAACUCGAGGACUGUAGAGGCAGACGGAAUUCCGGGUGUAGCGGUGGAAUGCGUAGAGAUCCGGAGGAAGACCGGUGGCGAAGGCGGUCUGCUGGGCAGUUUCUGACACUGAGGCGCGACAGCGUGGGGAGCAAACAGG
rnacentral:rRNA from 1 species